rnacentral:rRNA from 1 species
AGAGUUUGAUCAGGGCUCAGAUUGAACGCUGGCGGCAGGCUUAACACAUGCAAGUCGAGCGGCAGCGGAAAGAAGCUUGCUUCUUUGCCGGCGAGCGGCGGACGGGUGAGUAAUGUCUGGGGAUCUGCCCGAUGGAGGGGGAUAACUACUGGAAACGGUAGCUAAUACCGCAUAAUGUCGCAAGACCAAAGUGGGGGACCUUCGGGCCUCACACCAUCGGAUGAACCCAGAUGGGAUUAGCUAGUAGGUGGGGUAAUGGCUCACCUAGGCGACGAUCCCUAGCUGGUCUGAGAGGAUGACCAGCCACACUGGAACUGAGACACGGUCCAGACUCCUACGGGAGGCAGCAGUGGGGAAUAUUGCACAAUAGGGGAAACCCUGAUGCAGCCAUGCCGCGUGUGUGAAGAAGGCCUUCGGGUUGUAAAGCACUUUCAGCGGGGAGGAAGGCAAUGGCGUUAAUAGUGUCAUUGAUUGACGUUACCCGCAGAAGAAGCACCGGCUAACUCCGUGCCAGCAGCCGCGGUAAUACGGAGGGUGCGAGCGUUAAUCGGAAUUACUGGGCGUAAAGCGUACGCAGGCGGUCUGUUAAGUCAGAUGUGAAAUCCCCGGGCUUAACCUGGGAACUGCAUUUGAAACUGGCAGGCUAGAGUCUCGUAGAGGGGGGUAGAAUUCCAGGUGUAGCGGUGAAAUGCGUAGAGAUCUGGAGGAAUACCGGUGGCGAAGGCGGCCCCCUGGACGAAGACUGACGCUCAGGUACGAAAGCGUGGGGAGCAAACAGGAUUAGAUACCCUGGUAGUCCACGCUGUAAACGAUGUCGAUUUGAAGUUGUGGUCUUGAGCCGUGGCUUUCGGAGCUAACGCGUUAAAUCGACCGCCUGGGGAGUACGGCCGCAA